rnacentral:lncRNA from 1 species
GUCACAAGGUCUGAAACAACAACAACUGAAUGGGAUCGAGCAAUGCAAGUGACGAUGACUGACUGAAUGAAUGCAGGCACCACCAGCACGGGCGGUGGCAGGCGCGCAUCGGCCGCGUCUCCGGCAACAAGGACCUCUACCUCGGCACCUUCAGUACGUGCGCUUGCAUUGCAUUGCCCUCCUUCUCCUUCCUUCCUUGAGUAUCAUGUCGUCGUCGUCCCUGCGUAUGGGAUUGGCGAUGCAUGCAUGAUGAGUGACUCUGUGUGGCCUUUUACCACCCCAAUCAUAUCACGAUCACGCCUCGUCGUCCCCUGCUGCCAAAGAAUGUCUUCCUGCUUUCCUCCUCCUCUCGUUUCCUUUUGCUCGCCUGCUUUGUGGCCCUCCCUUCCUGCCUGCACUGCAUCAUCAGCGUCAGCAUGUGUGUGGUUUCUACUAGGGAUACACACAGAGAGAGAUAGGGAGGGAUCUUUCUUUGCAUAAGGCUGCCAUGCCAUGCCAUGCAUAAGCACGCCCUAU